GAGCUCACUUCAGCAACACAUACACUAAAAAUAGAAUAAUAUAGACAAGAUUAGGAAGGUCCCUGGGCAAAUUUGUGAAGUGUUCUGUUUUUUU
rnacentral:snRNA from 1 species